GAUGAAGAACGCAGCGAAAUGCGAUACGUAAUGUGAAUUGCAGAAUUCAGUGAAUCAUCGUGUCUUUGAACGCACAUUGCGCCCCCUGGUAUUCCGGGGGGCAUGCCUGUCCGAGCGUCAUUGCUGCCCUCAAGCACGGCUUGUGUGUUGGGCCUCCGUCCUCCUCCCGGGGGACGGGCCCGAAAGGCAGCGGCGGCACCGCGUCCGGUCCUCGAGCGUAUGGGGCUUCGUCACCCGCUCUUGUAGGCCCGGCCGGCGCUUGCCGACACAUCAAUCUUUUUUCCAGGUUGACCUCGGAUCAGGUAGGGAUACCCGCUGAACUUAAGCAUAUCAAUAAGCGGAGGA
rnacentral:misc_RNA from 1 species